UACGGGGGGGGCAAGCGUUGUUUGGAAUUACUGGGCGUAAAGGGCUUGUAGGUGGCCAACUAAGUCAGACGUGAAAUCCCUCGGCUUAACCGGGGAACUGCGUCUGAUACUGGAUGGCUUGAGUGUGGGAGAGGGAUGCGGAAUUCCAGGUGUAGCGGUGAAAUGCGUAGAUAUCUGGAGGAACACCGGUGGCGAAGGCGGCAUCCUGGACCAUUACUGACACUGAAAAGCGAAAGCCAGGGGAGCAAACGGG
rnacentral:rRNA from 1 species